rnacentral:rRNA from 1 species
GACGAACGCUGGCGGCGUGCUUAACACAUGCAAGUCGAACGGAAAGGCGCUGCUUUUGUGGGGUGCUCGAGUGGCGAACGGGUGAGUAACACGUGAGUAAACUGCCCUUGACUUUGGGAUAACUUCAGGAAACUGGGGCUAAUAUCGGAUAGGAGAUCCUGCUGCAUGGGGGGGGUUGGAAAGUUUCGGCGGUUGGGGAUGGACUCGCGGCUUAUCAGCUUGUUGGUGGGGUAGUGGCUUACCAAGGCUUUGACGGGUAGCCGGCCUGGGAGGGUGACCGGCCACAUUGGUACUGAGGUACGGCCCAGACUCCUACGGGAGGCAGCAGUGGGGAAUAUUGCGCAAUGGGCGGAAGCCUGAUGCAGCAACGCCGCGUGCGUGAUGCCGGCCUUCGGGUUGUAAACCGCUUUCGCCUGUGACGAAGCGUGAGUGACGGUAAUGGGUAAAGAAGCACCGGCUAACUACGUG